GUCUCUGUGGUUAAAUCGGUUAGCUUUGGCUGUUAACCAAAAGGAUGGUGGUUCGAGCCCACCCAGGGACG